CUGAGACCUUAGAACUUGUGUUGUAGA
rnacentral:sRNA from 1 species